GAAAUCCUUUAAUCUCCAUGGCAACCAUUCAACUGUGAACAAUGCCUGGGUGAAGGCGGAUGGAGCUAGGCUUAGCUUGGUCCAAGUCUCAGAGCUCUCACCUCACAGAACAAAUGUGAGCAAAUUGCUGUUGGCUCCUUCAGCCUAGCAAACAACAAUUAGAAAAACACCAGGUGGACCUCAGCUGAGCUGGUUACAGGAGCUACUUCUCAUUGUAACACUGAAUCAUGCUGUCACCACCGUGUUUCACCAUAUCACUGCAGCCAAAACAACAAGGUUACACUUGAUUCUGCUGUGGUGCCUGUGGAAACAAAGUCCAUAAAGUUUAUGCUCAGGUUGGAAAACCCUGUGGAUCACAUGGUGGGACUUCUGCUUCAAACUGCUCACUACAGUAUACCAUUGUCUCUGUCAUCCACCAGUUCACUGCAGACUGGCACACACCAAGGACCCUACAUGGAUGUCUUCUUAAGUUGUAAACCCUGAGUACAUAAUGCUGAAAUAAAAUUGAUAUGCCUUUUGUAAAUACAUUUUCUCUAUCAAUGACUUAAAUUGUUAACUGUAGUAAUUAUGUUUGUGCAAUGUAGUAACCAUGUUCAGUG